rnacentral:tRNA from 1 species
UGCGGGGUGGAGCAGUUGGUAGCUCGUCGGGCUCAUAACCCGAAGGCCAUCGGUUCGAGUCCGGUCCCCGCUA